rnacentral:misc_RNA from 1 species
GAAAUGCGAUAAGUAAUGUGAAUAGCAGAAUUCAGUGAAUCAUCGAAUCUUUGAACGCACAUUGCGCCCGCCAGUAUUCUGGCGGGCAUGCCUGUCCGAGCGUCAUUUCAACCAUCAAGCCCCCGGGCUUGUGUUGGGGACCUGCGGCUGCCCGCAGGCCCUGAAAACCAGUGGCGGGCUCGCUGUCACACCGAGCGUAGUAGCAAUCACCUCGCUCAGGGCGUGCUGCGGGUUCCGGCCGUUAAACAGCCUUACAAAACCCAAGGUUGACCUCGGAUCAGGUAGGAAGACCCGCUGAAAUUAAGC